GAUGAACGCUGGCGGCGUGCCUAAUACAUGCAAGUCGAGCGAACAGACGAGGAGCUUGCUCCUCUGACGUUAGCGGCGGACGGGUGAGUAACACGUGGAUAACCUACCUAUAAGACUGGGAUAACUUCGGGAAACCGGAGCUAAUACCGGAUAAUAUAUUGAACCGCAUGGUUCAAUAGUGAAAGACGGUUUUGCUGUCACUUAUAGAUGGAUCCGCGCCGCAUUAGCUAGUUGGUAAGGUAACGGCUUACCAAGGCAACGAUGCGUAGCCGACCUGAGAGGGUGAUCGGCCACACUGGAACUAAGACACGGUCCAGACUCCUACGGGAGGCAGCAGUAGGGAAUCUUCCGCAAUGGGCGAAAGCCUGACGGAGCAACGCCGCGUGAGCGAUGAAGGUCUUCGGAUCGUAAAACUCUGUUAUUAGGGAAGAACAAAUGUGUAAGUAACUAUGCACGUCUUGACGGUACCUAAUCAGAAAGCCACGGCUAACUACGUG
rnacentral:rRNA from 1 species